rnacentral:lncRNA from 1 species
ACAAAGCAAACAAAAACAUGAAGAGAGGAAAAGACACCUUCUUCAACAAAUGGUGCUGGGAUAACUGGCUAGCCACAUGUAAGAGAAUGAAACUGGAUCCUCAUCUCUCACCUUAUACAAAAAUUGACUCAAGAUGGAUUAAGGACUUAAAUCUAAGGCCUAAAACUAUAAAGAUUCUAGAAGAUAACAUUGGAAAAACCCUUCUAGACAUUGGCUUAGGCAAUAAUUUCAUGAAUAAGAACCCAAAAACAAAUGCAAUUAAAAAAAGAUAAAUAGUUGGUACUUGGUUAAACUAAAGAGCUUUUGCACAGCAAAAGGAACUGUCAGCAGAGUAAACAACACACAGAGUGGAAGAAAAUCUUCACAAUCUAUACAUCUGACAAAGGACUAAUAUCCAGAAUCUACAAUGAACUCAAACAAAUCAGUAAGAAAAAAAACAAACAAUCCCACCAAAAACUAGACUAAGGACACGAAUAGACAAUUCUCAAAAGAAGCAUACAAAUGGCCGAAAAACAUAUGAAAAAAUGCUCAACAUCACUAAUGAUCAGGGAAAUGCAAAUCAAAACCACAAUGCAUUACCACCUUACUCCUGCAAGAAUGGCCAUAAUUGAAAAGUCAAAAAACAGUAGCUGUUGGCAUGGAUGUGGUGAUCAGGGAACACUUCUACACUGCUGGUGGGAAUGUAAACUAUUACAGCCACUAUGGAAAACAGUGUGGAGAUUCCUUAAAGAACUAAAAUUUAGUUCUAGAACUAACUUUUGAUCUAGAACUACCAUUUGAUCCAGCAAUCCUGCUACUGGGUAUCUACCCAGAGGAAAAGAAGUCAUUAUAUGAAAAAGAUUAUGGGCACAAGCAUGUUUAUAGUGGCACAAUUCGCAAUUGCAAAAUUAUGGAACCAAUCCAAACGCCCAUCAAUCAACAAGUGGAUAAAGAAACUGUGGUAUAUGAUGGAAUACUAAUCAGCCAUAAAAAGGAAUGAAUUAACGGACUUUGCAGUGACCUGGAUGAGACUGGAGACUAUUAUUCUAAGUGAAGUAACUCAGGAAUGGAAAACCAAACAUUGUAUGUUCCCACUGAUAUGUGGGAGCUAAACUACGAGGACGCAAAGGCAUAAGAAUGAUACAAUGGACUCUGGGGACUUGGGAGGAAAGGUGAGAAGGGGGCGAGGGAUAAAAGACUACAAAUAGGGUGCAGUGUAUACUGCUGGGGUGACGGGUGCACCAAAAUCUUAUAAAUCACCACUGAAGAAAUUACUCAUGUAACCAAAUACCACCUGUACCCCAAUAACUUAUGGAAAAAUAAAAAAUUAAAAAAUACAUUAAAAAUAAAUAAAUAAAAAAGAAUCACUCAUGUCUCUUGGAGGAAAUUCAUCUCUUAAGUACCUUGAAGUGUCCUCAGACAUGCAAGAAGAUGUACCUUAUUGUGCCCUUCAAACAUCUAAGAUAAUGAUUUGCAACAGACUUUCUCCCUUAAGAGAAAAAUAGGCAUAGCUCUAUAGGAAUAUUUUCUUGUCCAUUCUUCAAGGAGUUUUGUGUGGCUGGAUUGCAUAUUAUAAUUGAUAAGGGCACAGGAAAGCAGAGGCUGCCAUAAUUGAUAAAUGCUGGGCACCAGUGAGUUAUUUCAUGCAGUGUCUGGGCAAGAAGAAACCUAAAAGUUCAUCUAAUCUGGAACUCCUCAUUUAAAAAUGGAAAGACUUCAAUGUAAGACUUGAAACCAUAAAAAUCCUAGAAGAAAAUACAGGGAAAAAGCUACGUGACAAUGGUCUUGACGAUGAGUUUUCUGGAUAUGACACCAAAAGCACAGGCAACCAAAGCAAAAAUAAACAAGUGAGGCUACAUCAAACCAAAAAUUUCUGCAUAACACAGGAAACAAUCAACAAAAUGAAAAGUCAACCUAUGGAAUGGGAGAACAUAUUUGCAAACCAUAUAUCUGAUAAGGGGUUAAUAUCCAAAAUAUAUAAGGAACUCCUACAACUCAAUAGCAAAAAACCAAAUAACCCAAUUAAAAAACAGGCGAAAGACCUCAAUAGACUUUUUUCCAAAGACAUACAAAUGGCCGCUAAUCAUCAGGGAAAUGUGAAGCAAGACCACAAUGAGAUAAUGCCUCACACUUGUUGGGAUGGGUGUUGUCAAGACAACAAAAGAUAACGAGUGUUGUCAGGGUAUGGAGAAAAUGAAACCCUUGUGUACCAUUUGUGGACAUGUAAAUUGGUAAGCCAUUAUGGAAAACAGCAUGGAGAUUCCUUAAAAAAUUAAAAAUAGAACUACCAUAUGAUUCAGCAAUUCUAUUUUCUGGUAUUUAUCCAAAGGAAACAAAAUCAAUAUAUUGAAAAGAUACCUGCAUUCCCACAUUCAUUGCAGCAUUAUUCACAACAGUCAAGAUAUAGGAAAAACCUAAAUGCCUGUCAAUAAAUGAACUUAUAAAGAAAAUGUGGCAUGCACACACAUAUAUAUACACACACAUACACACAUAUAUAUGCAUACACACAUAUACAUAAACAUAAUGUAAUAUUCACCCUAAAAAAGAAGGAAAUCCUGUUAUAUGCAACAACUUGGAUGAACGUGAAAGACAUUA